CAAAAUAAAAUAAACAUAAGCAAAACAAAAUAACAAAAAUAAAAUAUAAUAAUAAAAACAAAUUAUGAAGAACCCACGCAAGUGACCGUUGCAAGCUGACUGUGUGACGAGCGUCACACACGCCAUCACGGUCGUCACACCAAGUGCCUGUGACGCCCGUAACACCCCUGUCACGAGCGUGACACCUUCAGACUAGGUGAACGUUAGUAACCGUUGGGGACACGACCGUUACACCACCCCACUUUUU
rnacentral:lncRNA from 1 species